CCUCGGGGGGCAGCAGUAGGGAAUCUUCGGCAAUGGGCGAAAGCCUGACCGAGCAACGCCGCGUGAAUGAAGAAGGCCUUCGGGUUGUAAAAUUCUGUUAUAAGGGAAGAAAGGUGAUAGGAGGAAAUGACUAUCAAUUGACGGUACCUUAUGAGAAAGCCACGGCUAACUACGUGCCAGCAGCCGCGGUAAUACGGAGGAUGCGAGCGUUAUCCGGAUUUAUUGGGUUUAAAGGGUGCGCAGGCGGAAGAUCAAGUCAGCGGUAAAAUUGAGAGGCUCAACCUCUUCGAGCCGUUGAAACUGGU
rnacentral:rRNA from 1 species